GAAUUUGGGUCCUAGGCUUCAGAAUUUGUUCUAUUUUUUUUUUUUCUAUAUCUAGAAAUGGCAUUUCCGUGAAUAUUAUUUUUAAAUCUCUGUAUGAAAAUUGAAAUUAUGUAUUUUUUUAUUUUUAUUUUUUCUCGAUUUUUGAUGGAUGAUUUUUCUAUGUUGUUCGAUUAUCUGUGAAAUUAGGGGUUUCCACUUUAAAUCGGAUUUUUUUUUGUCAUUUUCUCUGAUUUUUUUAUUUUCGAAAUUCCUAUUUGGUUUUGUUGUUCCGUACGUGUUUCCAUAGAAUUUCGUGGGUGAUUUUCAUGUUCAAAUGAAAAUUUUAGUAUUCUUUAAUUCAAGAAAAUUAGGCAAUUCUAGCCACUGAAUCCGUCCAUUCUCUAUUGAUUUGUACAAAAAUUUCACGCAUUUUUGUUGCAUUAAUUUCUUGCGAUUUUGAACUUCUUUUGAAAUUUCCACAAAAAUUUCCAAAUGAAGCUCCCUGUCCACAUCAAGGAGAAGGCGAAAUCUACACCAUCGGAUCAGGCCCCUGUGAUCGAUCUCAUGCAGUUUGGGUAUGUCAAGCUCCUCGGCAAGGGGAUGCUACUGGAGGGGCGGCCUGUUGUCGUGAAGGCGAAGCUAGUGUCAAAGACCACAGAGAAGAAGAUCAAGGAGGCUGGCAGGGCUGUCAUGCUCACCGCCUGAUCUGUGGGGACCAGUCGAUGAAUUACCUCAAAAGCUUCACAAGAUGAGGAUCCACAUUGAAAGCUGCUUCCAGAAGUGAUGGUGAUAGAGCUCUGAACAGUGAUGUCUUCCCACCAAAAUGACUGAACACAGGCAGUGGACUAGAGAUGACAGAAAACCAUUCCAACCCUUCACCAUCUGCAAUUGAAUAUGAAGGGUUGAUGAUUUUUUACUGAUCGAUCUGGUAAAAUGGCUUAUUCAUUUGGUAGCCUCUUUAUCAUGUCUUAAUGUUCUCUUUCUUUCUUUAUUA